rnacentral:rRNA from 1 species
UUGCUGGGUGGAUCAGUGGCGAACGGGUGAGUAACACGUGAGCAACCUGCCCUCCACUUCGGGAUAAGCCUUGGAAACGGGGUCUAAUACCGGAUAUGAGCAUCUGCCGCAUGGUGGGUGUUGGAAAGUUUUUCGGUGGGGGAUGGGCUCGCGGCCUAUCAGCUUGUUGGUGGGGUGAUGGCCUACCAAGGCGUCGACGGGUAGCCGGCCUGAGAGGGCGACCGGCCACACUGGGACUGAGACACGGCCCAGACUCCUACGGGAGGCAGCAGUGGGGAAUAUUGCACAAUGGGCGAAAGCCUGAUGCAGCGACGCCGCGUGAGGGAUGACGGCCUUCGGGUUGUAAACCUCUUUCAGCAGGGAAGAAGGCCUUCGGGUGGACGGUACCUGCAGAAGAAGCGCCGGCUAACUACGUGCCAGCAGCCGCGGUAAUACGUAGGGCGCAAGCGUUGUCCGGAAUUAUUGGGCGUAAAGAGCUCGUAGGCGGUCUGUCGCGUCUGGUGUGAAAUCCCGAGGCUCAACCUCGGGCUUGCAUCGGGUACGGGCAGACUAGAGUACUGUAGGGGAGACUGGAAUUCCUGGUGUAGCGGUGGAAUGCGCAGAUAUCAGGAGGAACACCGAUGGCGAAGGCAGGUCUCUGGGCAGUUACUGACGCUGAGGAGCGAAAGCAUGGGGAGCGAACAGGAUUAGAUACCCUGGUAGUCCAUGCCGUAAACGUUGGGCACUAGGUGUGGGGCUCAUUCCACGAGUUCCGUGCCGCAGCUAACGCAUUAAGUGCCCCGCCUGGGGAGUACGGCCGCAAGG